CCCUUAGAUGUUCUGGGCCGCACACGCGCUACACUGAAGGAGGCAGCGUGUACUCCUGGAUCGAAAGAUUUGGGUAACCCGCGAAUCUCCUUCGUGCUAGGGAUUGAGGUUUGCAAUUAUCCUUCAUGAACGAGGAAUUCCCAGUAAGUGCAAGUCAUAAGCUUGCGCUGACUACGUCCCUGCCCUUUGUGCACACCGCCCGUCGCUACUACCGAUUGAAUGAUUUAGUGAGGACUUCGGACUGGGACCGAUGCGGCUUUCGGGCUGCGUCGGUAUUCUGGAAAGAUGUCCAAACUGUNUNAUUUAUNGGAAGUAAAANUCGUANCA
rnacentral:rRNA from 1 species